GAAGGUGGGACUGGCGAUUGGGACGAAGUCGUAACAAGGUAGCCGUACCGGAAGGUGCGGCUGGAUCACCUCCUUUCUAAGGAG
rnacentral:rRNA from 2 species